rnacentral:rRNA from 1 species
UGGGGAAUAUUGCACAAUGGGCGCAAGCCUGAUGCAGCCAUGCCGCGUGUGUGAAGAAGGCCUUCGGGUUGUAAAGCACUUUCAGCGAGGAGGAAGGUGGUGGACUUAAUACGUUCAUCAAUUGACGUUACUCGCAGAAGAAGCACCGGCUAACUCCGUGCCAGCAGCCGCGGUAAUACGGAGGGUGCAAGCGUUAAUCGGAAUUACUGGGCGUAAAGCGCACGCAGGCGGUUUGUUAAGUCAGAUGUGAAAUCCCCGGGCUCAACCUGGGAACUGCAUUUGAAACUGGCAAGCUAGAGUCUCGUAGAGGGGGGUAGAAUUCCAGGUGUAGCGGUGAAAUGCGUAGAGAUCUGGAGGAAUACCGGUGGCGAAGGCGGCCCCCUGGACGAAGACUGACGCUCAGGUGCGAAAAGCGUGGGGAGCAAAACAGGAUUAGAUACCCUGGUAGUCCACGCUGUAAAACGAUGUCGAUUUGGAGGUUGUGCCCUUGAGGCGUGGCUUCCGGAGCUAACGCGUUAAAUCGACCGCCUGGGGAGUACGGCCGCAAGGUUAAAAACUC